rnacentral:rRNA from 1 species
UACGAAGGGGCUAGCGUUGUUCGGAUUUAGCUGGCGUAAAGCGCAUCGUAGCGGAUUGGUCAGUUAGGGUGAAAUCCAGAGCUCAACUCUGGAACUGGCCUUUAAUACUGCCAGUCUAGAGUCCGGAAGAGGUGAGUGGAACUCCGUAGUGAUAGAGGUGGAAUUCGUAGAUAUUAGGAAGAACACCAGUGGCGAAGGCGGCUCAC